rnacentral:rRNA from 1 species
CACGAGUUUGAUCCUGGCUCAGAUUGAACGCUGGCGGAAUGCUUUACACAUGCAAGUCGGGCGGCAGCGCGGGGCAACCCUGGCGGCGAGCGGCGAACGGGUGAGUAACACAUCGGAACGUACCCUGUCGUGGGGGAUAACGAAUCGAAAGAUUCGCUAAUACCGCAUACGACCUGAGGGUGAAAGCGGGGGAUCGCAAGACCUCGCGCGAGAGGAGCGGCCGAUGGCGGAUUAGCUAGUUGGUGGGGUAAAGGCCCACCAAGGCGACGAUCCGUAGCGGGUCUGAGAGGACGGCCCGCCAUACUGGGACUGAGACACGGCCCAGACUCCUACGGGAGGCAGCAGUGGGGAAUUUUGGACAAUGGGGGCAACCCUGAUCCAGCCAUUCCGCGUGAGUGAAGAAGGCCUUCGGGUUGUAAAGCUCUUUCGGCAGGAACGAAACGGCGGGCUCUAACAUAGCCUGUCAAUGACGGUACCUGAAGAAGAAGCACCGGCUAACUACGUG